GAUGAACGCUGGCGGCGUGCUUAACACAUGCAAGUCGAACGAAGCGCUUGGAUGGAAUUCUUCGGAAGGAAGCUCAAGUGACUGAGUGGCGGACGGGUGAGUAACGCGUGGGUAACCUGCCUCAUACAGGGGGAUAACAGUUAGAAAUGACUGCUAAUACCGCAUAAGCACACGUGAUCGCAUGAUCGAGUGUGAAAAACUCCGGUGGUAUGAGAUGGACCCGCGUCUGAUUAGCUAGUUGGUGGGGUAAUGGCCUACCAAGGCGACGAUCAGUAGCCGGCCUGAGAGGGUGAACGGCCACAUUGGGACUGAGACACGGCCCAAACUCCUACGGGAGGCAGCAGUGGGGAAUAUUGCACAAUGGGGGAAACCCUGAUGCAGCGACGCCGCGUGAAGGAUGAAGUAUUUCGGUAUGUAAACUUCUAUCAGCAGGGAAGAAAAUGACGGUACCUGACUAAGAAGCCCCGGCUAA
rnacentral:rRNA from 1 species